AGACCCGAAACCCGGUGAUCUAGCCAUGGGCAGGUUGAAGGUUGGGUAACACUAACUGGAGGACCGAACCGACUAAUGUUGAAAAAUUAGCGGAUGACCUGUGGCUGGGGGUGAAAGGCCAAUCAAACCGGGAGAUAGCUGGUUCUCCCCGAAAGCUAUUUAGGUAGCGCCUCGUGAAUUCAUCUCCGGGGGUAGAGCACUGUUUCGGCUAGGGGGCCAUCCCGGCUUACCAACCCGAUGCAAACUGCGAAUACCGGAGAAUGUUAUCACGGGAGACACACGGCGGGUGCUAACGUCCGUCGUGAAGAGGGAAACAACCCAGACCGCCAGCUAAGGUCCCAAAGUCAUGGUUAAGUGGGAAACGAUGUGGGAAGGCCCAGACAGCCAGGAUGUUGGCUUAGAAGCAGCCAUCAUUUAAAGAAAGCGUAAUAGCUCACUGGUCGAGUCGGCCUGCGCGGAAGAUGUAACGGGGCUAAACCAUGCACCGAAGCUGCGGCAGCGACGCUUAUGCGUUGUUGGGUAGGGGAGCGUUCUGUAAGCCUGUGAAGGUGGCCUGUGAGGGUUGCUGGAGGUAUCAGAAGUGCGAAUGCU
rnacentral:rRNA from 1 species